CGGUCUCGUAAGUGGGAUGUGAAAUCUCCUGGCUAACUGGGAGGGGCCAUUCCAUACUGCGGGACUUGAGGGCAGAAGAGGGAAGCGGAAUUCCCGGUGUAGUGGUGAAAUGCGUAGAUAUCGGGAGGAACACCAGUGGCGAAGGCGGCUUCCUGGCCUGCUCCUGACGCUAAGAGGCGAAAGCUAGGGGAGCGAACGGGAUUAGAAACCCCGGUAGUCCUAGCCGUAAACGAUGGAUACUGGGUGUCGGUGGUCCUAACCCCAUCGGUGCCGAAGCAAACGCGUUAAGUAUCCCGCCUGGGGACUACGGCCGCAAGGUUAAAACUCAAAGGAAUUGACGGGGACCCGCACAAGCAGCGGAGCGUGUGGUUUAAUUCGAUGCUACACGAAGAACCUUACCCAGGUUUGACAUGCAGGUAGUAGUGAAGCGAAAGUGGAACGACCCUUCGGGAGCCUGUACAGGUGCUGCAUGGCUGUCGUCAGCUCGUGCCGUGAGGUGUUGGGUUAAGUCCCCUAACGAGCGCAACCCUCGCCGUCAGUUAUAUGUGUCUGGCGGGACCGCCGGCCCUAAGUCGGAGGAAGGUGGGGAUGAUGUCAAGUCAGCAUGGCCUUUAUAUCUGGGGCUACACACACGCUACAAUGGCCGGUACAAUGGGUCGCCAACCCGCGAGGGGGAGCCAAUCCUACAAAGCCGGUCUCAGUUCGGAUUAGAGGCUGCAACCCGCCUCUAUGAAGUCGGAGUUGCUAGUAAAC
rnacentral:rRNA from 1 species